CNAUAAGCGGAGGAAAAGAAACUNACAAGGAUUCCCUUNAGUAACUGCGAGUGAAGAGGGAAGAGCUCAAAUUUAAANUCUGGCAGUCCCAUCGGAUGCCCNGAGUUGUAAGUUAGAGAAGUGCUAUCCGUGCCGGCCUGUGCAAAAGUCCCUUGGAAAAGGGCAUCAUAGAGGGUGACAAUCCCGUCUUUGGCACAGACUACCGGGGCUUUUGUGAUGCGCUCUCGAUGAGUCGAGUUGUUUGGGAAUGCAGCUCCAAAUGGGUGGUAAAUUCCAUCUAAAGCUAAAUAUUGGCGAGAAACCGAUAGCGCACAAGUACCGUGAGGGAAAGAUGAAAAGAACUUUGAAAAGAGAGUCAAACAGUACGUGAAAUUGUUGAAAGGGAAACGCUUGAAGUCAGUCGUGUCCUUUGGAAAUCAACCUCAUCUUUGGUGGGAUGCACUUUCCAUUUGGACAGGUCAGCAUCAAUUUUGACCAUCAGAGAAAGACCUUGGGAAAGUGACAUCUCUUAUGAUGUGUUAUAGACCUAGGCUCAGAUGUGUUGGUUGGGAUUGAGGAACUCGGAUGGAUAAUACCCAUCCAAGGAUGCUGGCAUAAAUGGCUUUAAUCGACCCGUCUUGAAACACGGACCAAGGAGUCUAACGUGCAUGCGAGUGUUUGGGUGGAAAACCCAAGCGCGUAAUGAAAGUGAAAGUUGGGAACCCUGUCGUGGGGUGCACCGACGCCCGGACCUGACCUUUUGUGAAGGACCUGCGGUAGAGCAUGUAUGUUGGGACCCGAAAGAUGGUGAACUAUGCCUGAAUAGGGUGAAGCCAGAGGAAACUCUGGUGGAGGCUCGUAGCGAUUCUGACGUGCAAAUCGAUCNUCGAAUUUGGGUAUAGNGGCGAAAG
rnacentral:rRNA from 1 species